AACAUGGCUCUUUGAGAUUUAUAUAUAAAGAGUCGGGCCUGCCCAGUGAUGUAUUUUUAACGGCCGCGGUACUCUGACCGUGCGAAGGUAGCAUAAUCAUUUGCCCUAUAAUUGAGGGCUAGUAUGAAUGGUUUGACAUGAGCAUAACUGUCUCCUUAAAAUUUUAUAAAAUUUGGUUUUUAGGUGAAGAAACCUAAAUUAAAUUGAAAGACAAGAAGACCCUAUCGAGCUUUAGAAUAAUUAGUUAAAAAAUAUAAAUAAAACAAUUAAUUUUAAUUAAAAACUUUGGUUGGGGCGACUGAGGAACAUAUAAAGCUUCCUUAAUUAAACAAUGCUGAUAAGCAAUGAUCCAGGAAAUCUGAUUAAAAAAAUUAGUUACCGUAGGGAUAACAGCAUAAUCUUUUUUGAGAGCUCUUAUCGAAAAAAAGGUUUGUGACCUCGAUGUUGGACUAGGAUAUCCUAAAGAUGUAGAAGUCUUUAAUGGUUGCUCUGUUCGAGCAUAAAAAUCCUACGUGAUCU
rnacentral:rRNA from 1 species